UACCUUUGUAAAGGAUAAGAGAGGAUGCC
rnacentral:piRNA from 1 species